UACGUAGGGUGCAAGCGUUAAUCGGAAUUACUGGGCGUAAAGCGUGCGCAGGCGGUUUUGUAAGUCUGUCGUGAAAUCCCCGGGCUUAACCUGGGAAUGGCGAUGGAGACUGCAAGGCUAGAGUUUGGCAGAGGGGGGUAGAAUUCCACGUGUAGCAGUGGAAUGCGUAGAGAUGUGGAGGAACACCGAUGGCGAAGGCAGCCCCCUGGGUCAAGACUGACGCUCAUGCACGAAAGCGUGGGGAGCAAACAGG
rnacentral:rRNA from 1 species